rnacentral:tRNA from 1 species
AUGUAGCCAAGUGGAUCAAGGCAGUGGAUUNNUGAAUCCACCAU